rnacentral:rRNA from 1 species
UACAGAGGUCUCAAGCGUUGUUCGGAUUCAUUGGGCGUAAAGGGUGCGUAGGUGGCGUCGUAAGUCGGGUGUGAAAUUUCGGAGCUUAACUCCGAAACUGCAUUCGAUACUGCGGUGCUUGAGGACUGAAGAGGAGACUGGAAUUUACGGUGUAGCAGUGAAAUGCGUAGAGAUCGUAAGGAAGACCAGUGGCGAAGGCGGGUCUCUGGACAGUUCCUGACACUGAGGCACGAAGGCCAGGGGAGCAAACGGG